UACGGAGGGUGCAAGCGUUAUCCGGAUUCACUGGGCUUAAGGGGUGCGUAGGUGGGUUGGUAAGUCAGUGGUGAAAUCCCCGAGCUUAACUUGGGAACUGCCAUUGAUACUAUUAAUCUUGAAUACCGUGGAGGUUAGCGGAAUAUGUCAUGUAGCGGUGAAAUGCUUAGAUAUGACAUAGAACACCAAUUGCGAAGGCAGCUGGCUACACGAAUAUUGACACUGAUGCACGAAAGCGUGGGGAUCAAACAGG
rnacentral:rRNA from 1 species